rnacentral:rRNA from 1 species
GGACUACCCGGGUAUCUAAUCCUGUUUGCUCCCCUAGCUUUCGUUCUUCAGCGUCAGUAGUGAUCCAGCUCGCCGCUUUCGCCACGGGUGUUCCUGCAGAUAUCUACGCAUUUCACCGCUACACCUGCAAUUCCACGAGCCUCUCUCACACUCAAGCACAGCAGUUUUGGAAGCCGUCUCUGGGUUGAGCCCAGAGAUUUCACUCCCAACUUGCCGCACCGCCUACGAACCCUUUACACCCAGUAAUUCCGAACAACGCUGGCCCCCUACGUAUUACCGCGGCGGCUGGCAC